GAUGAACGCUAGCGGCAGGCCUAACACAUGCAAGUCGAGGGGUAGAAGGAGCUUGCUCCUUUGAGACCGGCGCACGGGUGCGUAACGCGUAUGCAAUCUACCUUGUACAGGGGAAUAGCCCAGAGAAAUUUGGAUUAAUGCCCCAUAGUAUAUAACCUUCGCAUGUUGGUUAUAUUAAAGUUUCAACGGUACAAGAUGAGCAUGCGUCCCAUUAGUUAGUUGGUAAGGUAACGGCUUACCAAGACGAUGAUGGGUAGGGGUCCUGAGAGGGAGAUCCCCCACACUGGUACUGAGACACGGACCAGACUCCUACGGGAGGCAGCAGUGAGGAAUAUUGGUCAAUGGUCGCAAGACUGAACCAGCCAUGCCGCGUGCAGGAAGACGGUCCUAUGGAUUGUAAACUGCUUUUAUACAGGAAGAAACCCUCCCACGUGUGGGAGCUUGACGGUACUGUAGGAAUAAGGAUCGGCUAACUCCGUGCCAGCAGCCGCGGUAAAGUCAG
rnacentral:rRNA from 1 species